rnacentral:piRNA from 1 species
UGAUAGUCCACAAUGGGUGAACCACAGCA